rnacentral:rRNA from 1 species
GNGGCAAGCGUUNUCCGGAAUUACUGGGCGUAAAGCGCANCGCAGGUGGUUGANUAAGUUCGANGUGAAAGCGCCUGGCUUAACUGGGNGAGGUCGUUNGAGACUGGUCGACUUGAGGUGAGGAGAGGGGUGUAGAAUUCCCGGUGUAGUGGUGGAAUGCGUAGAUAUCGGGAGGAAUACCAGUGGCGAAAGCGGCACCCUGGCCUUGNCCUGACACUCAUGUGCGAAAGCGUGGGGAGCAAACGGGAUUAGAUACCCCGGUAGUCCACGCCGUAAACGAUGAAUACUAGGUGUAGGUAGUCUCAAAAUUAUCUGUNCCGAANCUAACGCGAUAAGUUANCCGCCNGGGGAGUACGGCCGCNNGGNU